GGGGAUAUAGCUCAGUGACACAGCACCUGCCUGGCAAGCAUAAGGUCCUGAGUUCAAUUCCCAGGAACCACA
rfam:Cavia porcellus supercont2_32 genomic scaffold, whole genome shotgun sequence.